UACGAAGGGUGCUAGCGUUGUUCGGAAUCACUGGGCGUAAAGGGUGCGUAGGCGGCUUUGCAAGCCAGAGGUGAAAGCCUGGAGCUCAACUCCAGAACUGCCUUUGGAACUGCAUGGCUAGAGUGUCGGAGGGGAUAGCGGAAUUUCUAAUGUAGCGGUGAAAUGCGUAGAUAUUAGAAGGAACACCGGUGGCGAAGGCGGCUAUCUGGACGACAACUGACGCUGAGGCACGAAAGCCAGGGGAGCAAACGGG
rnacentral:rRNA from 1 species